rnacentral:rRNA from 1 species
UCCCUAAAUAGGGACUAGUAUGAACGGCUAAAUGAGGGCCUUACUGUCUCUUGCCGCCAGUCAAUGAAACUGAUCUCCCAGUCCAAAAGCUGGGAUAACACCAUAAGACAAAAAGACCCUGUGGAGCUUUAAAACCAAAACCACUAAAAUUGUCCACUUGGUUUUUAGUUGGGGCGACUUCGGAGUAAAAACAAACCUCCGAAAAAAUGGACCCUACCAUAUCACGGCCAACACGCCAAAAUAACCAAAACUCGACCCAGAUCCUAAUUAAUCUGACCAAUGAACCAAGUUACCCCAGGGAUAACAGCGCCAUCUUCUUCUAGAGUCCAUAUCGACAAGAAGGUUUACGACCUCGAUGUUGGAUCAGGACACCCCAAUAGUGCAGCCGCUAUUAAAGGUUCG